GAUGAACGCUAGCGGCAGGCCUAAUACAUGCAAGUCGGACGGGAUUGAGGAGCUUGCUUCUCAUGAGAGUGGCGCACGGGUGCGUAACACGUAUGUAACCUACCUUGUUCAGGGGGAUAGCCUCUCGAAAGAGAGAUUAAGACCGCAUAACGUAGUGAUGUGGCAUCAUAUUACUACCAAAUAUUUAUAGGAACAAGAUGGGCAUGCGGAACAUUAGCUAGUUGGUAAGGUAACGGCUUACCAAGGCUACGAUGUUUAGGGGAUCUGAGAGGAUUACCCCCCAAACUGGUACUGAGACACGGACCAGACUCCUACGGGAGGCAGCAGUAAGGAAUAUUGGUCAAUGGACGGAAGUCUGAACCAGCCAUGCCGCGUGCAGGAAGACGGCCCUACGGGUUGUAAACUGCUUUUAUACGGGAAUAAACCUACUUACGUGUAAGUAGCUGAAUGUACUGUAGGAAUAAGGAUCGGCUAACUCCGUGCCAGCCGCCGCAGUAAGAC
rnacentral:rRNA from 1 species